rnacentral:rRNA from 1 species
AACGGCCGCGGUAUUUUGACCGUGCAAAGGUAGCGCAAUCACUUGUCUUUUAAAUAGAGACCUGUAUGAAUGGCAUAACGAGGGCUUAACUGUCUCCUUUUUCCUAUCAAUGAAAUUGAUCUCCCCGUGCAGAAGCGGGGAUUAAAACAUAAGACGAGAAGACCCUAUGGAGCUUAAGACGCAAGAACAGAACAUGUUAAUUCCUAUAGUCAAAAUAUGAAAUUCAUUGAGCCCUGUUCUAAUGUUUUUGGUUGGGGCGACCACGGAGUAUAAAAAAACCUCCACGAGGAAUAAAGAUACCUCUUUUCAUCUAAGGGUGACAACCCUAAGAACCAGAAAUUCUGACCACUCUGAUCCGGCAAAGCCGAUCAACGAACCGAGUUACCCUAGGGAUAACAGCGCAAUCCUCUUUUAGAGUCCAUAUCGACAAGAAGGUUUACGACCUCGAUGUUGGAUCAGGACAUCCUAAU